rnacentral:tRNA from 4 species
AAGAAACUUAGGAUCACUUAAACCGAAGGCCUUCAAAGCCUUAAACAAGAGUUAA